GCAUGUUCUCGGGGCGGGGUGAAACUCCCCACCGGCGGUGAAAGCCCGCGAGCGCUCCGGCCGAGAGGCCGGGGGUCAGCAGAGUCCGGUGAAACUCCGGCGCCGACGGUCAUAGUCCGGAUGAGAGGGAACGGAA
rnacentral:ncRNA from 2 species